rfam:Gossypium raimondii Chr04_contig_111, whole genome shotgun sequence.
UGUUAAAAUUUUGAUCCAUUUGUACUGUUAAAAACUGUUGUGGCUAACGAAAUAACCAUACAGUGACAUGUGUCGUGUCAUGUGUAUCUCAUGCUGAUGUACAGGGACCAAAUUUUAACCGUAGAAAUUGAUGAAAUUAAUA